AAAUUUCCAGACGCUAACAACAACCAAACGGUGUGAGAAAACGUGUGAAUCUGGUAGCACUGCGAUUUGUGUUGUCGUCUUCUUUAAUUCCAACGACAACAGUACAUCCACGCAGCUCUUCUAGCGGGAAAAGCAACACAAGUUUUCAUCCUUGCAGCUUAAGAUCUUGCCACGAAGCACGCCAAGGAUGACCGAACCGAUCAAGUCGUCCAUCGCCUCUUCCUCUUUCGGAAUGGGGCAAAUUUUUAGGGAAAACGUGUUUAUCACGAAUUGGGAAGGAUUUUCGAGUUUUGAACUUGAAAUGGGCCUUAUCCCUAGGCGGGUUUUCGUCACUUUCCCCCUAAUUCUGAACCCUAUUUUGCCUAUAUAUGUUUUCCCCUUAUUCAUUGUGAGAGGGGGAGAGGUGAGAUUAUUUUUAGCAAUAGACCGGAGAAUAACUUCAGUAAAACACACACUAAGUACGUUUUCAAGAAAAAAAAGAAGUACAAGCUCAUAUAGCAGUUAAUUUGGAUAGUCUGGAGUCCCUUUGGUUUCCUAGUUUCAUUUGUUGUGUCGAGAAUCCAAGGUCGUGGUGAAGGACAUCGCUCAGUUUGUUGUCGUCCCGUUUCGCUGCUCCAAGAAAGGUAAACCCGGUUCCUUCUUAUUCCUUCACUAUUUUAUUUCGUUGGACUUUAUAGGUUCUCGAUUCUCGUAUUUUUGAAUUCUUGUCGUUCAUGCUUUUACAUCCCCUAUAUUGUGGCUACUAGAUGAGUGUUCUUUUUGUCUUUUCAUCCUGCUAAUUUUUAAAUGUUUGGAUCGAUUCAUUAACACUUAUGCUCUCAAAAUCAUUCAUUGAGGAUCUCGGUUAGUUUGAGCUUAAUAUGGGUCAAUAAUUUAAAGCGGUUUAAGUUUGAGUAUUCACCUUUGUGAUUAAUCUUGAUGUUGCAAGGCUUAAGUUGUUUGUCUCAUUGUCGUCGUUAUAUCUGUCGACUCGAACCCGUUAUCAAGUUUUGUUGACAUGUUUUGUUCUGCUUUUAGUGCUUUCUUCUAUCAUUCAUCUUGGGUCAUUACUUGUUAUCGACGUUAAAUAUUUAAAGGCUGAAAUUAGUUGAUACAGUAGUAUCAUGUUGUCCUAUGGUGUUGUCCGCGUGUGUCUUAGCUCAAGGUAGAAUCAAGUGUUCCUUCACCUCUCCGUUUAGAUCAUUCGAAGUGUUGUCCCGAAUUUAUGUUGUCGGGAUCCUAAAUCACUCGUUUCGCUGCCACUGGUAGUGGUAAACUAGUUCUAGCUCCAAGUUCAUGUUUAGUCUUGUGAAAUUUUUAUUCUAAUUUGAAUAAUGGGUGGGAAUGUUACUGAUGGGUUUGCAUUUUGUUGGUUCCCCUCUCGUAAUUUUGAAGCUCACUAAUUUCGUUACAUCAUAUCAUAUGUUAUAAUUUUUCCAACAGGCUUCCAUUUUCCUUUGUUCCAGUCUCGUUUUCUUUUUUUUUUAAUGACAGUCCGUUACUAAUUGAUUUCUUGAAACCCGAAAGUUGUUGGAAUGCUUUUUUUUGUUCCAAUAUUAAUCAUCUGUAAAGCUCAUGGCAUAGUAGGCUAAUUAGUCAAUUUAUUUACUAUUAGGAAUCAUAUUUUAAUGCAUUUAUAUGGAACAAUGGCUUGAAUGUUCAUUACUUUAUUUGUUAGCAUGAUUUGAGGCCAUUAGUUUUUCUUGUGAAUUUGUCCCCUUUUAUUCAUAUUUUUCAGCAUUUAGCUUGAUCGAGUUCAUUUUGCUAUAUCACUCUAAGAGUCGAUGUGAUAAGUUGUCUUAGAUAUGUUAUUAUUUUCGUUAUUUCGAGGCUUUAAUUUUUUACUCUUUUUUUUGUUGCAUGUGAUACCGUCCGAAUUUUCUUGGACUCUAUUUUUCUCCUUGCAUUUCGAGAGAGCCGUAAAGGCUUAAACUCUUCCUUUUCGAGUCAGCCCGCUACAAAAAUUGACGAACAGGUCCCAGAGUUCAAAGAAUAUGCAGUAGAUCGAAAAAUUGAAAGGAUUGGGCCAGAGGCCCACUCUUUAUUACAAAAAAUUGUAUUUUGUUAUUUUUUGGGCCUAAGCCCACUUAUCUAUUGUCUUGCUAGAAUUUAGGACAGGUGAAAAAUUGGGCCUAAGGCCCAAAUAAUAUUUUAUUUUUAUGUUAGUUUAGGACAGGUACCAAGUGUUGGACAAAAGGUCCAAAAAAUAAAAAUCAGACCCAAGUAUUGGUCCAGGCGGACAGAAAAAAAACCCAUACUUGGGCCCAAAUCUCUUUUCCUCUUUGUUUUAUUAUAUUUAUUUGCUUAUUAAUGUUUGUCAUUAAUCUUAAGAUCAACAAUUCAAAUCCCCGAAAUACGUCCAUUUCGCUUUAAGAAAUUAACUAAACUAGUCAUCUCUUAAC
rnacentral:lncRNA from 1 species